rnacentral:rRNA from 1 species
UAGCUAGUUGGUGAGGUAAAGGCUUACCAAGGCGACGAUCUGUAGCGGGUCUGAGAGGAUGAUCCGCCACACUGGAACUGAGACACGGUCCAGACUCCUACGGGAGGCAGCAGUGGGGAAUUUUGGACAAUGGGGGCAACCCUGAUCCAGCCAUGCCGCGUGAGUGAAGAAGGCCUUCGGGUUGUAAAGCUCUUUCGGCCGGGAAGAAAUCGCAUGGGCCAAUACCCUGUGUGGAUGACGGUACCGGAAUAAGAAGCACCGGCUAACUACGUGCCAGCAGCCGCGGUAAUACGUAGGGUGCGAGCGUUAAUCGGAAUUACUGGGCGUAAAGCGUGCGCAGGCGGUUUUGUAAGACAGGCGUGAAAUCCCCGGGCUUAACCUGGGAACUGCGUUUGUGACUGCAAGGCUAGAGUACGGCAGAGGGGGGUGGAAUUCCACGUGUAGCAGUGAAAUGCGUAGAGAUGUGGGGGAACACCAAUGGCGAAGGCAGCCCCCUGGGUCGAUACUGACGCUCAUGCACGAAAGCGUGGGUAGCAAACAGGAUUAGAUACCCUGGUAGUCCACGCCCUAAACUAUGUCAACUAGGUGUUGGGUGGGUAAAACCAUUUAGUACCGUAGCUAACGCGUGAAGUUGACCGCCUGGGGAGUACGGCCGCAAGGUUAAAACUCAAAGGAAUUGACGGGGACCCGCACAAGCGGUGGAUGAUGUGGAUUAAUUCGAUGCAACGCGAAAAACCUUACCUACCCUUGACAUGCCAGGAACUUGCCAGAGAUGGCUUGGUGCCCGAAAGGGAGCCUGGACACAGGUGCUGCAUGGCUGUCGUCAGCUCGUGUCGUGAGAUGUUGGGUUAAGUCCCGCAACGAGCGCAACCCUUGUCGUUAAUUGCCAUCAUUUGGUUGGGCACUUUAACGAGACUGCCGGUGACAAACCGGAGGAAGGUGGGGAUGACGUCAAGUCCUCAUGGCCCUUAUGGGUAGGGCUUCACACGUCAUACAAUGGUCGGUACAAAGGGUUGCCAAGCCGCGAGGCGGAGCCAAUCCCAGAAAGCCGAUCGUAGUCCGGAUUGCAGGCUGCAACUCGCCUGCAUGAAGUCGGAAUCGCUAGUAAUCGUGGAUCAGCAUGUCACGGUGAAUACGUUCCCGGGUCUUGUACACACCGCCCGUCACACCAUGGGAGCGGGUUCCGCCAGAAGUGGGUAGCCUAACCGCAAGGAGGGCGCUUACCACGGCGGGGUUCGUGACUGGGGUGAAGUCGGAACAAGGUAGCCGUAGGGGAACCUGCGGCUG